UACGUAGGGGGCGAGCGUUGUCCGAAGUUACUGGGCGUAAAGCGCGCGUAGGCGGGAAAUUAAGUGAGAAGUGAAAGGCUGGGGCUCAACCUCAUGCAGUGCUUCUCAUACUGGUUUUCUUGAGGGCGGUAGAGAAAAGUGGAAUGGCUGGUGUAGCGGUGAAAUGCGUAGAUAUCGUGAGGAAGACCAGUGGCGAAGGCGGAUCUCUGGACAGUUCCUGACACUGAGGCACGAAGGCCAGGGGAGCAAACGGG
rnacentral:rRNA from 1 species